AUGGAGGACAAGCGGAAGGCCGUCGCCAACAAUGAAGAGCGAAGGCAGCGCCAGCGGCGUGAGCGUGAGGCGGAAGCCGUGGAAGACACUGCGACUUCAGGGCGGACGCCGACUGCAGGCGGCAACGGGACUUCGCAGGAGCUUCCACGGGUGACGGCGGCGACUACGCCCGCUCUACGCCCCCCACCCGUCGCCUCUUCCCAGUUCGACAACGGGCGUCCGCAGCACGCGCAGAUCGGCAACGCCGGUGCGCCUCAGGGUCACGGCAGUACUGUCAUUGAUCAGCAGCGCCUCCGCGACCAGCCUUCUUCUUCACGGGCAAGAGCACCAGGAUGCACUUGUUGCGGCGGAGCGCCCACCACGCGGGUUGUUCUCAACCUGCCCGUGUGCGAGGCUUGCUACAGGCGGUUUUUUCACGCCGGUGCGCCUCAGCAGCACGCGCAGAUCGGCUACGCCGGUGCGCCUCGGGGAGCAGUGCGCAAUCCAGUGGCAGUCCCUACCCGUGAGCAGCAGUUCUUGGCUAACAUGGAUGCGCCGCCGAGGCCUUUUUCCAUGUUUCCCUUCCGGUGGGGCCCGGCGAACCCCGCACUGGAGCGGCAGUCUUCUUCACCAGCCCGCAAUGGGCCUCCGCAGCAGGCGCAGAUCAGGCCUCCACCCCUCCACACCUUGGCACCGCCACCGGAGCGGCAGUCUUCUUCACGGGCAAGGGAGCAGCAGCUCCAGGCCCAGGCUGAUGCGAUGAGGCUGCAGGUGGCCAAUAUUCUGAACAACCCUUUCUCGCUCGUCCGGUCGGGCCCGGCGAACCCAGCGCCUCAGCGGCAGUCUUCUUCACCAGGAUGCUACAGCAAUAUCUUCACCGGCAACGGGCCCUUGUUCAGCAGCGCCGGUGCACGUGCACCCCAGGCUCAGGGUCACGGUACUGCCAUUGAUCAGCAGCGCCAGCUCGACCUCCUCCGCGGCCAGCCUUCUUCUUCACAGGCAAGGGCACCAGGAUGCUCUUCUUGCGGAGCGCGCGCCACGCGGGUUGCUCUCAAGAUGCCCUUUUGCGACGCUUGCUUCAGGGAUACAUUCAUGGCCAACGCGCCUCCUCCUCAGCACACGCGGAUCGGCUCCAUGCUUCCGAGUCCAGUCCCCAGCUACAACUACGCGCAGACCGGCACCGUGCGUCCGCAGCACACGCUGGCCGGCAAUGUGUCUUCGAGUCCAGUCCCCACUCCCAGCAACGUGCAUCCGGAGCUCCCAGCAACGCCGUCGCCGAGUUCAGUUCCCACUCCCAGCAACGCCGGCGCGCCUCAGGGUCAGCAGCAGCACCGGGAUUCGGUGGUGGAACUGCUGGCGGCGACCGAGCCUUCUCCUCCGGCGGGUUCUCAGCGUGCCGCCUAUUCGAGGUGCGAGGCUUGCCGCUUGUCCGGCGAUAAGGCGUGCAUGUUUUGCCACAACCCCGGCCCACCGCCGCCACCGCCAGGGCAGAGCUAG
rnacentral:rRNA from 1 species